rnacentral:rRNA from 1 species
GGUUAAGCGACUAAGCGUACACGGUGGAUGCCCUGGCAGUCAGAGGCGAUGAAGGACGUGCUAAUCUGCGAUAAGCGUCGGUAAGGUGAUAUGAACCGUUAUAACCGGCGAUUUCCGAAUGGGGAAACCCAGUGUGAUUCGUCACACUAUCAUUAACUGAAUCCAUAGGUUAAUGAGGCGAACCGGGGGAACUGAAACAUCUAAGUACCCCGAGGAAAAGAAAUCAACCGAGAUUCCCCCAGUAGCGGCGAGCGAACGGGGAGCAGCCCAGAGCCUGAAUCAGUGUGUGUGUUAGUGGAAGCGUCUGGAAAGGCGCGCGAUACAGGGUGACAGCCCCGUACACAAAAAUGCACAUGCUGUGAGCUCGAUGAGUAGGGCGGGACACGUGGUAUCCUGUCUGAAUAUGGGGGGACCAUCCUCCAAGGCUAAAUACUCCUGACUGACCGAUAGUGAACCAGUACCGUGAGGGAAAGGCGAAAAGAACCCCGGCGAGGGGAGUGAAAAAGAACCUGAAACCGUGUACGUACAAGCAGUGGGAGCACGCUUAGGCGUGUGACUGCGUACCUUUUGUAUAAUGGGUCAGCGACUUAUAUUCUGUAGCAAGGUUAACCGAAUAGGGGAGCCGAAGGGAAACCGAGUCUUAACUGGGCGUUAAGUUGCAGGGUAUAGACCCGAAACCCGGUGAUCUAGCCAUGGGCAGGUUGAAGGUUGGGUAACACUAACUGGAGGACCGAACCGACUAAUGUUGAAAAAUUAGCGGAUGACUUGUGGCUGGGGGUGAAAGGCCAAUCAAACCGGGAGAUAGCUGGUUCUCCCCGAAAGCUAUUUAGGUAGCGCCUCGUGAAUUCAUCUCCGGGGGUAGAGCACUGUUUCGGCAAGGGGGUCAUCCCGACUUACCAACCCGAUGCAAACUGCGAAUACCGGAGAAUGUUAUCACGGGAGACACACGGCGGGUGCUAACGUCCGUCGUGAAGAGGGAAACAACCCAGACCGCCAGCUAAGGUCCCAAAGUCAUGGUUAAGUGGGAAACGAUGUGGGAAGGCCCAGACAGCCAGGAUGUUGGCUUAGAAGCAGCCAUCAUUUAAAGAAAGCGUAAUAGCUCACUGGUCGAGUCGGCCUGCGCGGAAGAUGUAACGGGGCUAAACCAUGCACCGAAGCUGCGGCAGCGACGCUGAUGCGUUGUUGGGUA